CCACAUCUUUCUCAGCUGGUAAAGAAUCUGCCUGCAAUGCAGGAGACCUGGGUUUAAUCCCUGGGUUGAGAA
rfam:TPA: Bos taurus chromosome 2, whole genome shotgun sequence.